AUACGUAGGGGGCGAGCGUUGUCCGGAAUGACUGGGCGUAAAGGGCGUGUAGGCGGCGGUGUAAGUCUGGAGUGAAAGUCCCGCAUUCAGUGUGGGACUUGCUUUGGAUACUGCAGUGCUAGAGUGCGGAAGAGGUAAUUGGAAUUCCCAGUGUAGCGGUGAAAUGCGUAGACAUUGGGAGGAACACCAGGAUUGAAGGCGACUUACGGGGCCGUACCUGAAGCUGAGGCGUGAAAGCGUGGGGAGCGAACAGGAGUAUAUUCCCUGGUAGUCCACGCGGUACACGAUGAUUGCUAAGUGAUGUGGGGAUCGAGCCUAGCAGUCCUGGAGGAAACACAAUACGGAAUACGGCUUGGGAGUCCGGGCGCAAGGAGGAUGCUCAAAUGAGUUGAAGGGU
rnacentral:rRNA from 1 species